rnacentral:rRNA from 1 species
GUGACAGCCGCCGCGGUAAUACGAAGGGGGCUAGCGUUGUUCGGAAUUACUGGGCGUAAAGCGCGCGCAGGCGGCUUGGCAAGUCAGUGGUGAAAUCCCAGAGCUUAACUCCGGAAUUGCCUCUGAAACUGCUGAGCUUCGAGUACGGGAGAGGUGAGUGGAAUUCCCAGUGUAGAGGUGAAAUUCGUAGAUAUUGGGAAGAACACCGGUGGCGAAGGCGGCUCACUGGCCCGUUACUGACGCUCAGGCGCGACAGCGUGGGGAUCAAACAGGAUUAGAAACCCUCGUAGUCC